AUUGAACGCUGGCGGCAGGCUUAACACAUGCAAGUCGAGCGGGGAUUGGGUGCUUGCACCUAAUCUUAGCGGCGGACGGGUGAGUAAUGCUUAGGAAUCUGCCAUUUAGUGGGGGACAACAUUCCGAAAGGGAUGCUAAUACCGCAUACGCCCUACGGGGGAAAGCAGGGGAUCUUCGGACCUUGCGCUAAAUGAUGAGCCUAAGUCGGAUUAGCUAGUUGGUGGGGUAAAGGCCUACCAAGGCGACGAUCUGUAGCGGGUCUGAGAGGAUGAUACGCCACACUGGGACUGAGACACGGCCCAGACUCCUACGGGAGGCAGCAGUGGGGAAUAUUGGACAAUGGGCGGAAGCCUGAUCCAGCCAUGCCGCGUGUGUGAAGAAGGCCUUUUGGUUGUAAAGCACUUUAAGCGAGGAGGAGGCUACCUGGAUUAAUACUCUAGGAUAGUGGACGUUACUCGCAGAAUAAGCACCGGCUAACUCUGUGCCAGCAGCCGCGGUAAUACAGAGGGUGCGAGCGUUAAUCGGAUUUACUGGGCGUAAAGCGUGCGUAGGCGGCUGAUUAAGUCGGAUGUGAAAUCCCUGAGCUUAACUUAGGAAUUGCAUUCGAUACUGGUCAGCUAGAGUAUGGGAGAGGAUGGUAGAAUUCCAGGUGUAGCGGUGAAAUGCGUAGAGAUCUGGAGGAAUACCGAUGGCGAAGGCAGCCAUCUGGCCUAAUACUGACGCUGAGGUACGAAAGCAUGGGGAGCAAACAGGAUUAGAUACCCUGGUAGUCCAUGCCGUAAACGAUGUCUACUAGCCGUUGGGGCCUUUGAGGCUUUAGUGGCGCAGCUAACGCGAUAAGUAGACCGCCUGGGGAGUACGGUCGCAAGACUAAAACUCAAAUGAAUUGACGGGGGCCCGCACAAGCGGUGGAGCAUGUGGUUUAAUUCGAUGCAACGCGAAGAACCUUACCUGGCCUUGACAUAGUAGAAACUUUCCAGAGAUGGAUUGGUGC
rnacentral:rRNA from 1 species